AGCAGAGUAGGAAUUUAUGCGUAAAGUGCCCGCCGAACGGGGAGUUGUCGGCAGGACGAAAAGCAGGGGCUGCAUCCCCCGCUUGCGGUAUAGGUUUUGCAUCCCGCUGCU
rnacentral:ncRNA from 2 species